GAAUGUUGUAAAUAGCCUUAUUUUUAAAAUUUACCAAGACUGCUUCUCUUUGAUGAUAGUGGUGGGAGGGGAAACGGCCAAAAUCCUAAACUCCCAAGGUGCUGCAUGCUAUUAUAUUUUAAAAAGGAAAGGAAGUGUUCCUUCAGGGGAGUUAUAAAAGUUCAGUCCUCACCGUGCUAUACGCAGCCGUGCAAUGGCAUGCUGUUGCACAAUGAAAGAGUUGUGCCGGUAUGUUAUACUUGAAUAGGUUCGGCAUUACAUCAGCCUCUGCUAUUUCCUGUCCUGACCUCGACCCUAAAAUCUAUCCUAGUCCUGGCAACGAACUUGGAAGGAAGAUAAUGGGUAUUUGCCUUGGCCUUGCCUAAUAUUGUGAUAGGACAAUGACACAAGUUCUUAUAAUUACAAAUUCCUCCAGCCUGAGCCCACCAGCUACUCGGAGGGAAGCAGAUAGCCCCAGUACCGGUCCCCUGGUUUUGCUGUAGGGAUGACUGCUCAUCACCUGAGCCCUCUGCAACAAAAAAGAGGCAGACAGACAGACAGACAGACUGCUGUCUCCUUCCAUUAUCCUAUACUGCCCAAGUGCCCUGAGUGCUCAAGUGAAGCCAGCCUGCAAAAACACGCGUCUGCUUAGCCCUGACAGCAAGUCUCCUCACCCUCCACUCCAGCACACCAAUGCUACCAUGUGAAUUUAGGAAACCGAAGGGAAAAGAGGGUCUGGGCACGUCUGCUGCACACGUGCCGUGCUGCCUGCCCCUACUGGCAGGCAGCCCCCAGCCCGAGGGAAAGUCCUCAUUUCACAUGGCGGGAGUGAGGUGGGAGAAAUUCAGUCAGCUGCUUCUGCUGAACCCUACCACCUCUCUCCAUGGCAUUUCCAUGGCAACACACAGCGAUGCUUCCUUUGCAUUAUCUGCCCAGGGACCAGUACCUCCCAGUUCCAGUCUGGAAACAGGGGAUGGUAAGGGGACCCUACCUACAGCCCACAGAUUUCUCUGAGCUUAUGAAUUCUGCAUCUCUGAGUCCCAAAGGCACCCACUGAUCCCAGCAGCGCGAUCCAGACACUUCCAUGGCUGGGUUCCUGUCCCCCUGAAGGCAUUUUAGAAGAAACGUCUCCCACAGUUACAAGUGGCAGGAGCAUCUCAGGGUCUGUGUUCACCCAAGCGUGCUGUUUUAACCGUCCUGGUACAGCAAAAAGACUGGAGACAGACAGAGUGAAAGUGUUGCUGCCUUGGAAACAAAGGUGGUUACCUUAAAAUGGUAGAAGAGGACUGCAAGAACAGAACACAGUUUCUUGUUUGUGCUAUAAAAAGCAUGAUUAAGAGAGAAAGUGAUUCCUAGAAUAUUUGGUAGUUGAUUUUUCAGAACAGAUAAUAUCUUACCCAUGUUUGCACACUAACAGAAACUUAAAGAAACUCUAUUGAAGCUGACUCUAGCAGUACUUUUGGAGGCAAACUCAAAGGAGGCAAGUCAGG